UACGGAGGGUGCAAGCAUUAAUCGGAUUUAUUGGGCGUAAAGGGCGCGUAGGCGGAGAGGGAAGUCAAAUGUGAAAGACCGAAGCUCAACUUCGGAAACGCAGGUGAAACUCCCUCCCUAGAGGGUGGGCGGAGAAAACGGAAUUCCACAAGUAGCGGUGAAAUGCGUAGAUAUGUGGAAGAACACCGGUGGCGAAAGCGGUUUUCUAGCUUAUACCUGACGCUGAGGCGCGAGAGCAAGGGGAGCAAACAGG
rnacentral:rRNA from 1 species